GCUUAGAGUUUGAUCCUGGCUCAGGAUGAACGCUGGCGGUAUGCUUAACACAUGCAAGUCGAACGGAGUACUUCGGUACUUAGUGGCGGACGGGUGAGUAACGCGUGAGAAUCUGCCUUCAGGAUGGGGAUAACAGUCGGAAACGACUGCUAACACCCAAUGAGCCGAGAGGUAAAAAAUUUAUUGCCUGAAGAGGAGCUCGCGUCCGAUUAGUUAGUUGGUGGGGUAAAGGCCUACCAAGGCGGCGAUCGGUAACUGGUCUGAGAGGACGAUCGGUCACACUGGGACUGAGACACGGCCCAGACUCCUACGGGAGGCAGCAGUGGGGAAUUUUCCGCAAUGGGGGCAACCCUGACGGAGCAAUACCGCGUGAGGGAGGAAGGCCUUUGGGUUGUAAACCUCUUUUCUUAAGGAAGAAGCUCUGACGGUACUUAAGGAAUCAGCAUCGGCUAACUCCGUGCCAGCAGCCGCGGUAAUACGGAGGAUGCAAGCGUUAUCCGGAAUUAUUGGGCGUAAAGCGUCCGUAGGCGGCAGGAUAAGUCUGCUGUCAAAGACCGCAGCUCAACUGCGGAGAGGCAGUGGAAACUGUCAAGCUAGAGUACGGUAGGGGUAGAGGGAAUUCCCAGUGUAGCGGUGAAAUGCGUAGAGAUUGGGAAGAACACCAGUGGCGAAAGCGCUCUACUGGGCCGUAACUGACGCUGAGGGACGAAAGCUAGGGGAGCGAAAGGGAUUAGAUACCCCUGUAGUCCUAGCUGUAAACGAUGGAUACUAGGCGUAGCUUGUAUCGACCCGAGCUGUGCCGAAGCUAACGCGUUAAGUAUCCCGCCUGGGGAGUACGC
rnacentral:rRNA from 1 species